UGUUUAUGUGGUAUAUCAUUUUAAUUGACUUACAGAUAUUGACCCAAACCUACAUACUAGGAACAAAUUCCAUUGAUCCUUGGUGUAUGGUCUUUCAAAAUGUAUUACUGACUUCACUUUGGUAAUAUUUUGUUGAGGAUCUUUACAUAUGAGGUCUGUUGGGAAAAAAAGUCCAACCAUUGUUAAUAUAAUGGGAAUGGUUUGUGCAACAUCAAUGUAACCUGGCAGCCAAGGAGAGUGGACUGGAAUGCACAUGUGUGAACAAUGAUGACUUCACUGUACUAGUCAGUGGGGCCGGUAGACACUGUUUAGUGAGCAUGGGUGCUGUGUGACUUUCACAUUCAUAG